rnacentral:rRNA from 1 species
CCCUUAGAUGUUCUGGGCUGCACGCGCGCUACACUGAUGCCCUCAACGAGUUUACGACCUUGCCCGAUAGGGUUGGGUAAUCUUUUUAAAAUGCAUCGUGAUGGGGAUAGAUUAUUGCAAUUAUUAAUCUUCAACGAGGAAUUCCUAGUAAGCGCGAGUCAUCAGCUCGUGCUGAUUACGUCCCUGCCCUUUGUACACACCGCCCGUCGCUCCUACCGAUUGAGUGCUCAGGUGAAUAAUUCGGACUGCAGCAAUGUUUGGAUCCCGAACGUUGCAGCGGAAAGUUUAGUGAACCUUAUCACUUAGAGGAAGGAGAAGUCGUAACA